rnacentral:rRNA from 1 species
CGUUCGCUCCCCUGGCUUUCGCGCCUCAGCGUCAGUGUCGGCCCAGCAACCCGCCUUCGCCGCAGGUGUUCCUCUCGAUAUCUACGCAUUUCACCGCUACACCGAGAAUUCCAGUUGCCCCUUCCGCACUCUAGCCCGACAGUAUCAGUUGGCCGCUCUGAGUUGGGCCCAGAGAUUUCACAACUGACUUGUCGUGGCCGCCUACGCGCCCUUUACGCCCAGUAAAUCCGAACAACGCUUGCUCCCCCCGUAUUACCGCGGCUGCUGGCACGGAGUUAGCCGGAGCUUACAAAUGGUACCGUCACCACAGGGGGUAUUAGUCCCUGCUUAUUCUUCCCAUUCUUAUGGAGUUUACAUUCCGAAAAACUUCAUCCUCCACGCGGCGUUGCUGGGUCAGGCUUGCGCCCAUUGCCCAAAAUUCCCGACUGCUGCCUCCCGUAGGAGUCUGACCCGUAUGUCAGUGUCAGUGUGGCCGACCGCCCUCUCAGGCCGGCUACAGAUCGCAGGCUUGGUGAGCCAUUACCUCACCAACUACCUAAUCCGCCGCAGGCUCCUCUCUAGGCGCGAGGCCCCGAAGG